GAUUACAGCAUACAGUAUUAUUGUCACUGCUACAUUUCUGUGAUGCUACCAGAAAUUAUUUCCACUACUAAUUAAUUACCGUUGAGCUCAAAGGUCCUAUUAAUAAACGGUUAAGGAAUGUGUAUUUAUGACGACGAUUUGUGAGACUGGUAAACUUAUGAUACGUACGAUGGUCUUUCGUUCUACACGGUGCAUUUCAAGGUCCUGCACCCAUCCGUCGGUAAACUGUACCUGGGCUUGUUGCAGUGACCGGAAGUUACUAAACUUCAUGAGUGUAUGCACUCACUCCAAGAACCGUAUAAUUAUAAAUAUGCAUAUAAAUAUGCUAAGAUGAGAUAGCUGACUUCAUCUAACUAGCAAAUGUUUUCCAGGCUACGUUGGUGAUACAGUUUUUUUUAAUGUGUAUGAUAUUUUUGUCAUGCGAUUUUAAAGCUGGUCCUACAACCGCAUCCAAGAAUAACAUGCAGCUUAUCUCAGAACUGUCGGUGAAAAUUAUUCUUGGAGCUAGGUUUAAUUGAGCUGCAUUUUAUAGAGGUGCAGUUUCACAAUUUGUGUAUAUUUUCUAAGUUCACUAUUUUGUCAUGUGUUGAGAAAAACACAGAUUUUAAAAUUACAUGGUCUAAUAUUUACAUUUAGCAUAUAACUGCAACAUUAUUUUUUCGUUUUUUUUUUUUUUUAAAGACUCGAAAGGACUUGAAAUUCAAAGUUUCAGACUUGUGACUUGACUCGGACUUUUACACCAGUGACUUGAGACUCGACUCUGACUUGCCUGACAUUACUUGAGACUUGACUUGAGACUUGAGGAUAAAGACUUGAGACUUACUUGAGACUUGCAAAACAAUGACUUGGUCCCACCUCUGCUUCUAACUCAGUGGAGGAACCACUGUUGUGUCUAAACACACAUAUUUUGUUAUUAGAAGCCAGUCACAAAAACACAUAAUUGUUCCCAUUUCUUUAGUUUAACCCAUGAAAACUGCUGAUUAGUUGUCAUAUUGCAGCAUGAUAUGCAGUAUAUGCUUAAAGAUUUUAAGUAGUGCUGAGGACUUAAAGAAAUGACGAGAGUUCACGCUGUGUUGAAGAAUAAAAGAGGUCAUACCAAAUAUUUCCGUUAUUUGUUACAAUUAUACAAACUUUAUUUUUCUCCUUACAUACUUUAUUUCCGUGUAUGUUUGCUCAUGUUGCAAUAAAUCACUGCACCUAUAGCUACAUUUUAAAAAGAAGAUGAGGCUAGUUCAAGACUUCUUGCACAGUAAGUGCUUUGAAGAUAAUGAAAUUAAUAUUCUGGAUCCAUGGCCAGGAAAUUUCUGAGUUAAUCUGAUCAAUUUUACAAAGAAAACUACAAAGAAGAAGAAUCAGUACUAUAAAUAUUGACUUGUUGCAUUAAUUCCAAGUCUUUGAAACUUAUGAAGGUUCAUUAUUGUUGCAUACUUCAUCAAAGAAAUAUAAAGAUAAUCUAAACACUGAAACUGAAGCGUAUGGAGUACAAGAAACACAAAAUCGGAGCCACUGCUGGAAUUUUUAUCUGUGACCAUGCUCGCAAAUGAAGUUAAAAAACAUCUGACUUC
ensembl:lncRNA